rnacentral:rRNA from 1 species
GAUGAACGCUGGCGGUAUGCUUAACACAUGCAAGUCGAACGGACUCUUCGGAGUUAGUGGCGGACGGGUGAGUAACGCGUGAGAAUCUGGCUUUGGGUUCGGGACAACCACUGGAAACGGUGGCUGAUACCGGAUGUGCCGAGAGGUAAAAGAGAAAUUGCCUGAAGAUGAGCUCGCGUCUGAUUAGCUAGUUGGUGAGGUAAAGGCUCACCAAGGCAGCGAUCAGUAGCUGGUCUGAGAGGAUGACCAGCCACACUGGGACUGAGACACGGCCCAGACUCCUACGGGAGGCAGCAGUGGGGAAUUUUCCGCAAUGGGCGAAAGCCUGACGGAGCAGUACCGCGUGAGGGAAGAAGGCUCUUGGGUUGUAAACCUCUUUUCUUAGGGAAGAACAAAAUGACGGUACCUAAGGAAUCAGCAUCGGCUAACUCCGUG